GGGACUCCUUGUGGGGAACACAAUUGGAACGACUGCUAAUACCCCAUAUGCCCAGAGGUGAAAGGUUAACUCCCUUAAGGAUGAGCUCCCCUCUGAUUAGCUAGAUUGGGGGGUAAUGGCCUACCAUGGCGACCAUCAGUAGCUGGUCUGAGAGGAUGAUCAGCCACACUGGGACUGAGACACGGCCCAGACUCCUACGGGAGGCAGCAGUGGGGAAUUUUCCGCAAUGGGCGAAAGCCUGACUGAGCAACGCCCGCCGUGAGGGAGGAAGGUCUUUGGAUUGUAAACCUCUUUUCUCUAGGAAGAUAAUGACGGUACUAGAGGAAUCAGCAUCGGCUAACUCCCUGCCAGCAGCCGCCGUAAUACGGGGGAUGCAAGCGUUAUCCGGAAUUAUUGGGCGUAAAGCGUCCGUAGGCGGCUAGAUAAGUCUGUUGUUAAAGCGUGCAGCUCAACUGCAUAAGGGCAAUGGAAACUAUUUAGCUAGAGUGUGGUAGGGGUAGAGGGAAUUCCCGGUGUAGCGGUGAAAUGCGUAGAUAUCGGGAAGAACACCAGUGGCGAAAGCGCUCUGCUGGGCCACAACUGACGCUGAUGGACGAAAGCUAGGGGAGCGAAAGGGAUUAGAUACCCCUGUAGUCCUAGCCGUAAACGAUGAACACUAGGUGUUGUCUGUAUCGACCCGGACAGUGCCGUAGCUAACGCGUUAAGUGUUCCGCCUGGGGAGUACGCACGCAAGUGUGAAACUCAAAGGAAUUGACGGGGGCCCGCACAAGCGGUGGAGUAUGUGGUUUAAUUCGAUGCAACGCGAAGAACCUUACCAGGACUUGACAUCCCUUGAACUUCUCAGAAAUGAGUUGGUGCCUUCGGGAGCAAGGAGACAGGUGGUGCAUGGCUGUCGUCAGCUCGUGUCGUGAGAUGUUGGGUUAAGUCCCGCAACGAGCGCAACCCACGUUUUUAGUUGCCAUCAUUAAGUUGGGCACUCUAGAGAGACUGCCGGUGACAAACCGGAGGAAGGGGUGGAGCGACGUCAAGUCAUCAUGCCCCUUACGUUCUGGGCUACACACGUACUACACAUGCUGUCGGACAGAGGGCAGCGAACUAGCGAUAGUAAGCUAUAUCCCAUAUAACGAGGCUCAGUUCAGAUUGCAGGCUGCAACUCGCCUGCAUGAAGGUGGAAUCGCUAGUAAUCGCAGUCAGCAUC
rnacentral:rRNA from 1 species